CUAUCAUGCAAGUCGAGGGGCAGCACGGGUAGCAAUAUCUGGUGGCGACCGGCGCACGGGUGCGUAACGCGUAUGCAAUCUACCUAUUACUGGGGAAUAGCCUUCCGAAAGGAAGAUUAAUGUCCCAUAACACUACGAAGAGGCAUCUCUUUGUAAUUAAAGCUCCGGCGGUAAUAGAUGAGCAUGCGUGACAUUAGCUAGUUGGUGAGGUAACGGCUCACCAAGGCUACGAUGUCUAGGGGCUCUGAGAGGAUUGUCCCCCACACUGGUACUGAGACACGGACCAGACUCCUACGGGAGGCAGCAGUAAGGAAUAUUGGACAAUGGUGGCAACACUGAUCCAGCCAUGCCGCGUGAAGGAUGAAGGCCCUAUGGGUUGUAAACUUCUUUUGUACGGGAAGAAACCUCCGAACGUGUUCGGAGCUGACGGUACCGUAAGAAUAAGGAUCGGCUAACUCCGUGCCAGCAGCCGCGGUAAUACGGAGGAUCCAAGCGUUAUCCGGAUUUAUUGGGUUUAAAGGGUGCGUAGGCGGCUUUGUAAGUCAGUGGUGAAAUCCUAUCGCUUAACGGUAGAACUGCCAUUGAUACUGCAGAGCUUGAAUAUGUUUGAAGUGGGCGGAAUGUGUAGUGUAGCGGUGAAAUGCUUAGAUAUUACACAGAACACCGAUUGCGAAGGCAGCUCACUAAACCAUUAUUGACGCUGAGGCACGAAAGUGUGGGGAUCAAACAGGAUUAGAUACCCUGGUAGUCCACACCGUAAACGUUGAUAACUCGAUGUGUGCAAUACACCGUACGCGUCUAAGCGAAAGCGUUA
rnacentral:rRNA from 1 species